AUGGAAACUACUCCACCGAGCCUUCAUAUCUCCAUUCCCUCUCGGUUCCCACCCAUGGAUAACAACGCAAUAGUCUCUCUCAAACUGAUGCAAACAACUUUGGGCAUGGGUCUGGCGUCGUCAAAGGGAUUACGGCCUCAAAUUUAUUUUCAUCAUCUAGAUCAGGUUUGUUUCUCACAUUGUUUUCUCACGUACAAUUUCUUGAUAGGGCAUGGAUCUGGCUUGAUCAAGGGGCUUACUGCCUCAAAUUUGCUUUCAUCAUCUAGAUCAGGUGUCAUUGGCAUCACAACUUACAUUGGACAUACUGAAGAAAUGCAAACAACUCAUGGGGUUUGA
rnacentral:rRNA from 1 species